CACGAAUGAUGCGCUCAGACCCCAGCUAUCUACCGAACGUCCAUUCGUGCAAAUAGACCGUAUAUUACCACAGUUAUGCAUUUUAAUAUAAAUUGUCGGUUCUGCUGCACGGAGGGAUAAUCCACUUAACGGUACAUUCCAGUGGGAGGAUCUCUCUCGUGCAGCAGUACCUGAUGGGAGAAAUGUCUUGUACAAUAAGUCCCCCAUGUAGUCCCCUUUGGGACUGCCCCUGGGAAGGGACUCAGGAAACCCCUUGCAUGGGGACUGCCCCUGGGAAGGGACUCAGGAAACCCCUUGCAUGGGGACUUUUUUAAUUGUGGAGCUGAAAUAAAAGACCUCAGUUGACUCUCAGAACUGUGUUUCUUCCGGUUACUGGGAGAUUUGGGAUAUUUCCAGCGCUUGACUGUGGAUAUUUUCCUGAACCAGCGGAAUUCGUGGAUUUAAUAUUGGCGUUCCACUACACGCACAAGGUCAGCGGUAUGUGUAGCCAAAUUCAUGGAAUGAAAUCGGCUACACAUUUCCGCGAACGCCGCUGAGCCCUACCUUCUCCCAUACUGAACUUUCAGCUGCAAAGACUAAGUCCCAUUCGGCGAUGGGACUUAGUCGUUUUUUCAGCCUGAAAUAUACCGACCGCACAGCCCAAAUCUAUGGAACUGUUUUGGGCAGGAAAAUGUGCUUGCGGUCGGUCAUAAAGGGACCUCCAGCUAACUUUUUAACCCCUGGAUGGAUUUUUGGUUAUGUUUAUAUUUGAAGGUUGCUGAUUCUAAAUAUGUAAUUUUUAUGUAGAUUGGAUGUGUGGUUUUAAAGUUACAGGAUAUGUGUAAAAACUGUAUUUUUCCUGCCUUUGUUAAUUAUGUUAAACCAUUGUGUACCAUAAUUAGAUCACAGGCAGAGGGGAGGAUUUUUGUAUGUAAUUGCUGGGCGUGUUUCUGUAAUAUACGUGUAUGAUUGGUUGUUUUGUAAAACCCUGUGGGUGGUCCUAUCUAAGGGAAACCUGCAUAAAAGAAGGUUCUUUUGGUGCCAGUAAAUAAGUUCUGCUUGACCUCAAAACGAAGUGUCGUCUCGUUACUGGGGGAAUCUGCUACAAGGGAUUGCUAUGCUAGUCAUACUCCCUUGCUAUAUCACUACUAAGCUUUUGUAAGAGCUUGUUCCUAUCUUGCUCUCUGGAGGAGUCUACAGUGGUUAUGGUGUCGGCUGGAGUGCUUGGAGCCCUCAGGAAGCACUAGGAGCAUCCUUCAACGGAGGUACCCAGUCGGGGUGCCAGG